rnacentral:rRNA from 1 species
CGGCAACAGCUCAAAUUUGAAAUCUGGCCUCUUUGGGGUCCGAGUUGUAAUUUGUAGAGGAUACUUUUGAUGCGGUGCCUUCCGAGUUCCCUGGAACGGGACGCCAUAGAGGGUGAGAGCCCCGUCUGGUUGGAUGCCAAAUCUCUGUAAAGUUCCUUCAAC